rnacentral:rRNA from 1 species
GACAGAGGUCUCGAGCGUUAGGCGGAAUCACUGGGCUUAAAGCGUGUGUAGGCGGACUUGUAAGUACCUUGUGAAAUCCCACGGCUCAACCCGUGGAACUGCUUGGUAUACUGCUUGUCUUGGGCCAUCUAGGGGUUACCGGAACAAACGGUGGAGCGGUGAAAUGCGUAGAUAUCGUUUGGAACGCCAAUGGUGAAAACAGGUAACUGGGGAUGUGCCGACGCUGAGACACGAAAGCCAGGGGAGCGAA